rnacentral:lncRNA from 1 species
AGAAAGUUUUGUUUUGUUUAAGAGAAAAUGGCUUUACAUGAAUUUAUGUUCCUCAUGGCAGAUAUGUUACACUUCCCUCUAAACAGAAAGACAAGCCCAGGUACAGGUGCCCAUCGUGUUCGUGCACCUCGCUGAUGUAGGUGGCCACCAGCCCAUCGGGAUCAUGCAGGCUUCUCCGGAAGGCACCGCUGUCGCUGAGU